GCCUUUGUGGUGUAGUGGUCAGCACACUGGGCGCAUAUUCCAGAAGUCUAUGGUUCGAGUCCCAGCAAAGGCU
rnacentral:tRNA from 1 species